UGUAAAAAGCAACAGCUUGACAUCAUAAUCAGCAUACAACAUGAUAUUAGCAUGAAAGGACAUAGGUUCAACCAGAUUGUAGCGUCUCAGCUCGGUUCAUUUGAGUUAACGGGUGAACCGGGAAGGGAUGUUACA